rnacentral:rRNA from 1 species
UACGUAGGGUGCUAGCGUUAAUCGGAAUUACUGGGCGUAAAGUGUGCGCAGGCGGUUUCGCAAGUCACGUGUGAAAGCCCCGGGCUUAACCUGGGAACUGCGCUUGAAACUACGGAACUCGAGUAUGGCAGAGGAAGGUGGAAUUCCACGUGUAGCGGUGAAAUGCGUAGAGAUGUGGAGGAACACCGAUGGCGAAGGCAGCCUUCUGGGCCAAUACUGACGCUCAUGCACGAAAGCGUGGGGAGCAAACAGG